rnacentral:tRNA from 1 species
GCCCGGAUGGCGGAAUAGGCAGACGCACGAGGCUUAAACCCUCGAGCCACUUCGGUGGCGUGUGGGUUCAAGUCCCACUCCGGGCA